AUUGAACGCUGGCGGCAGGCCUAACACAUGCAAGUCGAGCGGAUGAAGAGAGCUUGCUCUCUGAUUCAGCGGCGGACGGGUGAGUAAUGCCUAGGAAUCUGCCUGGUAGUGGGGGACAACGUUUCGAAAGGAACGCUAAUACCGCAUACGUCCUACGGGAGAAAGCAGGGGACCUUCGGGCCUUGCGCUAUCAGAUGAGCCUGGGUCGGAUUAGCUAGUAGGUGGGGUAAAGGCUCACCUAGGCGACGAUCCGUAACUGGUCUGAGAGGAUGAUCAGUCACACUGGAACUGAGACACGGUCCAGACUCCUACGGGAGGCAGCAGUGGGGAAUAUUGGACAAUGGGCGAAAGCCUGAUCCAGCCAUGCCGCGUGUGUGAAGAAGGUCUUCGGAUUGUAAAGCACUUUAAGUUGGGAGGAAGGGCAGUAAGCUAAUACCUUGCUGUUUUGACGUUACCAACAGAAUAAGCACCGGCUAACUUCGUGCCAGCAGCCGCAGUAACAC
rnacentral:rRNA from 1 species